AUUGAACGCUGGCGGCAUGCCUUACACAUGCAAGUCGAACGGCAGCACGGGAGCUUGCUCCUGGUGGCGAGUGGCGAACGGGUGAGUAAAGCAUCGGAACGUGCCCUGAAGUGGGGGAUAACGUAGCGAAAGUUACGCUAAUACCGCAUAUUCUGUGAGCAGGAAAGCAGGGGAUCUUCGGACCUUGUGCUUUAGGAGCGGCCGAUGUCGGAUUAGCUAGUUGGUGAGGUAAAGGCUCACCAAGGCGACGAUCCGUAGCGGGUCUGAGAGGAUGAUCCGCCACACUGGGACUGAGACACGGCCCAGACUCCUACGGGAGGCAGCAGUGGGGAAUUUUGGACAAUGGGCGCAAGCCUGAUCCGGCCAUGCCGCGUGAGUGAAGAAGGCCUUCGGGUUGUAAAGCUCUUUCGGCGGGGAAGAAAUGGCACUCUCUAAUACAGGGUGUAGAUGACGGUACCCGCAUAAGAAGCACCGGCUAACUACGUGCCAGCAGCCGCAGUAACAC
rnacentral:rRNA from 1 species